AUCCUGGCUCAGGAUGAACGCUGGCGGCGUGCUUAACACAUGCAAGUCGAACGAUGAAGCUCCAGCUUGCUGGAGUGGAUUAGUGGCGAACGGGUGAGUAACACGUGAGUAACCUGCCCUUGACUCUGGGAUAAGCCUUGGAAACGAGGUCUAAUACCGGAUAGGAGCACUCAUCGCAUGGUGGGUGUUGGAAAGAAUUUCGGUCAUGGAUGGACUCGCGGCCUAUCAGCUUGUUGGUGAGGUAAUGGCUCACCAAGGCGACGACGGGUAGCCGGCCUGAGAGGGUGACCGGCCACACUGGGACUGAGACACGGCCCAGACUCCUACGGGAGGCAGCAGUGGGGAAUAUUGCACAAUGGGCGCAAGCCUGAUGCAGCGACGCCGCGUGAGGGAUGACGGCCUUCGGGUUGUAAACMUCUUUCAGUAGGGAAGAAGCGAAAG
rnacentral:rRNA from 1 species